GACAGAGGGUGCAAACGUUGUUCGGAAUUACUGGGCGUAAAGCGAGUGUAGGCGGUCUGAAAAGUCGGAUGUGAAAGCCCCGGGCUCAACCCGGGAAGUGCAUUCGAAACUGCCAGGCUAGAGUGUCGGAGAGGUUGGUGGAAUUCUCGGUGUAGAGGUGAAAUUCGUAGAUAUCGAGAGGAACACCGGUGGCGAAGGCGGCCAACUGGACGAACACUGACGCUGAGACUCGAAAGCGUGGGGAGCAAACAGG
rnacentral:rRNA from 2 species